rnacentral:rRNA from 1 species
GGACAAACGCUGGCGGCGUGCCUUACGCAUGCAAGUCGAGCGACGUCCGUUCCCUUCGGGAAGGAACGGAGCGGCGGACGGGUGAGUAACACGUAAGUGAUCUGCCCAAAAGCGGGGAUAACCCACCGAAAGGUGAGCUAAUACCGCAUGUGUCCGGUGGUUCGAUUCACCGGGUAAACCUUUAGGGGCUUUUAGGAGGUAGCUUGCGGCCGAUUAGCUAGUUGGUGAGGUAAAGGCUCACCAAGGGCUGUUAUCCGGUAGCUGGUCUGAGAGGACGAUCAGCC